GGUGGCUCAGUGGUAGAGCACUUGCCUUGCAUGCAUAAGGCCCUGGGUUUGAUCCUCAGCACCA
rnacentral:tRNA from 1 species